CUUGUUACAUGGCCAUCAGCCCAGAAAGUCACAGUCUCAGAGAGGCAUCGGGGAGGGGCAGAGCUCAAGUAUAAAAUCCUGCGAGUUUAUCAGCACGAGUCCGAGACAGGCGCGGAGGACUACGGAAGAGAGAGGUGGGAGAAUUCCAAUUAGAUGAAACCUCUACUCAGGGCUUUCUGUGUGCAGGAAACGGUGCCAUGCGGGACACUUCAAAGCUAAAUCCUGUCCUCCCCCUCUUCCCCCGGGCAAAGGGGGCAGCUGGGCAAGCUGCACUCCACUCCAGACCACUCGCAGUUUGGGACAACAGCCGGACAGACAGAGAAGGAGCCGUGGAAACAGGGGUGCAAGCAGUGUGUGUGUCAUUAAAAACGUCCCAGGCUGCUUGUGACAAUCAUCCGUGAGCAUUUACAGAGGCGUUAGCAUCUGCUGGCUACCACGCUGGCUCUCUCACGGAUUCCCAAGACAACCUGGUGAGUGGCUUCUGUACCACUGGCCCUCACUUCUGUGACACAAGGGCACAGAGGAGUCCAGCAGUGUCCUCCAAGUCGUCAGGGACAUGGGCCUGCAAUGCAGCUCCUUCUUGGCAGAGUUUGAGAUGCAGGCCUCCACUCUCUGGCCUGCCCAUCAGGCACGCCCUCCUUCCUGCCACGCGGGAGAGUCGAUGGUUAAAAUCCCCGAACCCUGGAUAUGCACUAGGGGCACGUAAAUUAGCCUGACCUUCCCAAAUAGCAAAUGAAUUUCCACAAGCUGUUAUAUAAAACUGGCCUUUAUUGCAAUUAAAAAAGAACAAAGACAAUUUGAUAAGUGCCUUUAAUUACAACGUACCUGCUAUUUACAUGUAAUUCUAUUUUUACACACAGCUUGAAUAAGGUUCAUUACAUGUAAACUAGAAGAUAUUAGAAAUUAAACUCCAGCCUUUUGGGAACAUUCAGAACAGAAAUCCUACAGGCAGAAACACAGAAAACAAAUAAGCGUUUUAGUUCCUUAGGUACUGUUGUUGGAUGAAUGGUUAUGAUCUGGCCACAGAAGACAGUUGUAAAUAUGCGUCCAGUUGAAACAUAGUUACCGUGACUAACAGUAUUGCUAUUGCUGAAACCCUAAACAAAAUAAUUGGAUCAUUAAAAACAAUACAACUUCAAUGUAUAUAGCACCUUUCUUCCCGAGUUCAAAGCAUUGGUAUUUAUCUAUAUUAUCUCGUUUGUCCCCAUAACAUCCCUAUGAGGUAGGCGAUGGUUGGUAUCAUGAUCUCCGUUUUGUAUUUGGAGAAACUGAGGCACAGAGAAGUUAAAUCAUUCGUUCAAGGUCACACAGAAAAGUCAGUGCUGGAACAGGGACCAAGAGCCGUGAGCUCAUCUCCAGAACCAAUGCUUCUCUUUAAAUCAUAAAUUGUCCCCUCUGAGAAUUCAACACCUCAAUUCACUUUUCCAAGAAAUAAAAAAAAAAGGGUGGUUUUUUUUUUUCUCCCAUAAAAAUUGUUGAAAUACUAUAGGCAAGAAACAUACACUCUGGGGUUAGAUGUCAAAUUGAUGCUACACUUUUCUAGAAACAGUUUAUGGAAAUCUUUUGUUGGUUUUGUUUUUCCAUUAUGAAGCAUUUCCCAGUUAAAACAAAGUCAGAACUCUUUAAAUGAAAUAUAUUUGAAAGGAUGCAUCCAUCUAGUGACCUACAGAUUAUAGCUUUAGUGGCCAUACUAUGCUAUCCACAAGCCAGGUUUAUUCCUGAGUUUACAAAGAAGGAAAUAUCUAAACAAUAAUUUAAAUCUUUGAGACAGUCUUAUGUUUCAUUUAUAUUACUUAAGGUUUGCUCCUUAAGAGAGAGUGGUAGACAGGAAGUUGGGAUAACACAUUUUCCAGAGACAUACAAACUGAUAUACAAGGGCAGGAAGUCUUGCCCAUGUCACUUAGUUCAAAUUUUACUUCUGAUCCAUGCCCGGCCCACCCUCCAGAAUCAAGUAUGUAGUUGGUACUCAAAAAAAAAAAAAAAAAAAAAAAAA